rnacentral:rRNA from 1 species
AAUAUUGGACAAUGGGCGAAAGCCUGAUCCAGCAACGCCGCGUGAGGGAUGACGGCCUUCGGGUUGUAAACCUCUUUCAGCUCUGACGAAGCGCAAGUGACGGUAGGAGCAGAAGAAGCACCGGCCAACUACGUGCCAGCAGCCGCGGUAAUACGUAGGGUGCGAGCGUUGUCCGGAAUUAUUGGGCGUAAAGGGCUCGUAGGCGGUUAGUCGCGUCGGGAGUGAAAACCCGGAGCUUAACUCCGAGCCUGCUUCCGAUACGGGCUGACUAGAGGUAUGCAGGGGAGAACGGAAUUCCUGGUGUAGCGGUGAAAUGCGCAGAUAUCAGGAGGAACACCGGUGGCGAAGGCGGUUCUCUGGGCAUUACCUGACGCUGAGGAGCGAAAGUGUGGGGAGCGAACA